GGAAACCGGGGCUAAUGCCGGAUAACAUGUUGAACCGCAUGGUUCUACAGUGAAAGACGGUCUUGCUGUCACUUAUAGAUGGACCCGCGCCGUAUUAGCUAGUUGGUGGGGUACGGCCUACCAAGGCGACGAUACGUAGCCGACCUGAGAGGGUGAUCGGCCACACUGGAACUGAGACACGGUCCAGACUCCUACGGGAGGCAGCAGUAGGGAAUCUUCCGCAAUGGGCGAAGCCUGACGGAGCACGCCGCGUGAGUGAUGAAGGUCUUCGGAUCGUAAAGCUCUGUUGUUAGGGAAGAACAAAUGUGUAAGUAACUGUGCACAUCUUGACGGUACCUAACCAGAAAGCCACGGCUAACUACGUGCCAGCAGCCGCGGUAAUACGUAGGUGGCAAGCGUUAUCCGGAAUUAUUGGGCGUAAAGCGCGCGUAGGCGGUUUUUAAGUCUGAUGUGAAAGCCCACGGCUCAACCGUGGAGGGUCAUUGGAACUGGAAAACUUGAGUGCAGAAGAGGAAAGUGGAAUUCCAUGUGUAGCGGUGAAAUGCGCAGAGAUAUGGAGGAACACCAGUGGCGAAGGCGGCUUCUGGUCUGCAACUGACGCUGAUGUGCGAAAGCGUGGGGAUCAAACAGGAUUAGAUACCCUGGUAGUCCACGCCGUAAACGAUGAGUGCUAAGUGUUAGGGGGUUCCGCCCCUUAUGCUGCAGCUAACGCAUUAAGCACUCCGCCUGGGGAGUACGGUCGCAAGACUGAAACUCAAAGGAAUUGACGGGGACCCGCACAAGCGGUGGAGCAUGUGGUUUAAUUCGAAGCAACGCGAAGAACCUUACCAAAUCUUGACAUCCUUUGACCGCUCUAGAGAUAGAGUUUUCCUCUUCGGAGGACAAAGUGACAGGUGGUGCAUGGUUGUCGUCAGCUCGUGUCUGAGAUGUUGGGUUAAGUCC
rnacentral:rRNA from 1 species